CUCUUGGCGUUCUAGAACGCUCGCCGGAGACCGGGAGAAAGGGAAGGAUGGCUAUCUCCCAGCAGGAAUCGAGCGGGAUUCCUAGUGAACACAGGGGCCUCGAGUUGCCGUCAGCCGCUGGGGAAAGCCAAGGCGGGGAGUUUGAACGUAGGGAAACAGAAAGAAAGCCCCUAGAUGAAGCCAUUCCACAAUCCAUCAACUUUUUCAGCUACGCCAGCCAAUAAAUUGCCUUUGGGGCUUAAGUCA